rnacentral:ncRNA from 2 species
GUGACACCGCCGCGCCGCCGUGUGGUUAGGAUGACCUGGCCCGUGGGGAAGUCCGGUGUGAGUCCGGUGCUGUCCCGCAACUGUCAGGUCGUUCGCGAUCCGAAGCCAGAUACCCGCGGGUGCAGUGACGAACGG